UUUCCAUAAUAAACUACAGGCAUAUUUGCGCUUGACUGUAAAUGAUGCAGUACAGGUACAGUUAUUUACUGUUGAAUGCGUUGCACGAGGCAGUUGCUUUACACAAGACCAUUUGAUGGCGGAUUGCUGAGGAGCCACAUUGCCACUCCACUCAGCCACAAUACGCAUGUAGCAGAAGUAGCUAACGCUACCGGACGGUCAGGCGCCCCGGAGUCGGGUCGUUGCCUAGCCACAGGGAGGAGAAACAUCCUGAACAGAGCGCCAUCGCUGCACAGUGAUCAACAUACAUGGCUGAAGAAUCUUUUCAGGUGAAUUGCUCACAGCAACCGUUUGGAUGCUGAGCAUCGGGGGUCAGGUGGUUGUGCCUCCACAUCCCAACUUCGUGGCUGGGAUGGCAGCUUUGUUUUCGAGCUACUACAUCUUUAAUCUGGUGUACCCGGAGCAAGCAUCUUGUACACUAAAAUUCAUUCAAAGAUGCUUCAUCGUACUGAACCCUUCAAGUGGAACCAAGACAACAAAAGUGUUGAGCCAAAAACAUGAGAACAUACAGGAGAAAGAGAG